rnacentral:rRNA from 1 species
GACCGGUGCUUGCACUGGUCAAUCUAGUGGCGAACGGGUGAGUAACACGUGGGUAACCUGCCCAUCAGAGGGGGAUAACAUUCGGAAACGGAUGCUAAAACCGCAUAGGUUCUACAGUCGCAUGACUGAAGAAGGAAGAGAGGCUUCGGCUUCUGCUGAUGGAUGGACCCGCGGUGCAUUAGCUAGUUGGUGAGGUAACGGCUCACCAAGGCCGUGAUGCAUAGCCGACCUGAGAGGGUGAUCGGCCACAUUGGGACUGAGACACGGCCCAAACUCCUACGGGAGGCAGCAGUAGGGAAUCUUCCGCAAUGGACGCAAGUCUGACGGAGCAACGCCGCGUGAGUGAAGAAGGAUUUCGGUUCGUAAAACUCUGUUGUUAGAGAAGAACAGCGCAUAGAGUAACUGUUAUGCGUGUGACGGUAUCUAACCAGAAAGCCACGGCUAACUACGUGCCAGCAGCCGCGGUAAUACGUAGGUGGCAAGCGUUGUCCGGAUUUAUUGGGCGUAAAGCGAGCGCAGGCGGUCAAUUAAGUCUGAUGUGAAAGCCCCCGGCUCAACCGGGGAGGGUCAUUGGAAACUGGUUGACUUGAGUGCAGAAGAGGAGAGUGGAAUUCCAUGUGUAGCGGUGAAAUGCGUAGAUAUAUGGAGGAACACCAGUGGCGAAGGCGACUCUCUGGUUCUGUAACUGACGCUGAGGCU